UACGAAGGGGGCUAGCGUUGCUCGGAAUCACUGGGCGUAAAGCGCACGUAGGCGGAUCUUUUAAGUCAGAGGUGAAAUCCCAAGGCUCAACCUUGGAACUGCCUUUGAUACUGGGGAUCUCGAGUCCGGAAGAGGUUGGUGGAACUGCGAGUGUAGAGGUGAAAUUCGUAGAUAUUCGCAAGAACACCAGUGGCGAAGGCGGCCAACUGGUCCGGUACUGACGCUGAGGUGCGAAAGCGUGGGGAGCAAACAGG
rnacentral:rRNA from 1 species